rnacentral:lncRNA from 1 species
GAACACAUUCAUUUUAUUGUAAUUGGACUAAAACAUUUUUUCUUAAUUCUGAUUGGGUGGAACACUUUUUUGUUUUAAUUGGGUGGGGCGUUUUUCUUUUGUUUUUUUCCUUAACUUAAUUAAAACCAAAUAUUUUUAAAAAGUUUUAUUUUAUUAUUAAGGAAAAAAAAAAGAGCGUGGGGCAAGUGCCACACCCACAGUGCUUUCAAGGUUGCUGAUGCUUCUGGUCUACCGUUCGCCUUUUAUCUCCUCUGGUAAAGAUUGUUGUUGUUUGUUGUCGAUCUAUUUUGUCGGUACUAACCAAUUAUCUCAUCUUCUUUUGCAGGCUGGUCUCUUCUGGAGCUCAUCUGCUUCGAUCCACGACCGGAGCUUCUUAUAGCUCCACCGCCGGAGCUUGUAUUCUUCUAAGAUCCAACACCGGAGCUUCUCCUCUGCAUGCAUGUUCGUUUCCUUCUCCAUUUCGCCUCUUUAUUUAAUUGUUUUGUCUCUUAUAUAGCUGUAUUGCAUGUGAUGUUUGUUGUUUAGCUUAGGUUGAUGUCUUUCGAGUGUGUUAUGUCUCUGUCUCGGUUGGGUUUUUUUUUUUUUUUUUUAAAUUGUGAAUCUGUCCGUUCAACAGUUCAUGUGAAUGUUAUGUCUCGGUCUCUGUCUCUAGUUGACCUCGUUGGAAUAUUUAGACCAGAUUAAAUUCAUUUGAUUGUUUGUUGUCUCUGAUUGUCUUACCGAAGUUUAAAUUGUGAAUGUGUCCAUAAAACUCGUUAGAAUAUCCAAGAAGCGUUUUAUUUGAUAUGGUUACAGAAUAUCAACUAAGCAACUUGUGGUCAGUUCUGAUAUGUUUUCUUGUCGUGUUGUCUUUGUUUUGUCUUAUGUUUUGAGGCGAUGAAGUGAUGAAUAACAAGGAGGCGACUGGUUCAUCCUCUUCUCCUCUUAUAAGAUAAGACAUUACUUGUUUGCAUUGUAAAUUUGUAAUGCCGAUAUGUUCCAAGUGAUUUAUCUGAAUUUUUGUUUGUUUUUGUCAUGUGUAUGAAGAAGAAGGCGUCAGCACGUCAGCUUCCAGCUUUUCAUUCCCUAAUAGCUUCAGUACCUCAGGUUAUUCACUCUCUUACGCAAAACUAGUAAUCAUUGAUAGGAGAGCUCAAUGUCUUAUUGUCUUCAACUAUAAUCUCUGAUAUGUAUUUUCUUUCUGUCUGUGUCACGCUUUUGGAUGUGUUGCCUCGAGCUCUUGGAGUGGUCGUGACCAAGGAGGCGUCAGCACGUCAGCCUACCAUUGCUAUGAGCAGCUUUAGGACCUCAGGUUAGUCGCACUCUUCCGUAGAACUAAUAAGCAUUGAUAUGAGAACUCACUGGUUAGAUAGGACUCCCUGUUUAGAUAGUUGAACUCACUGGUUAGAUAGGACUCCCUGUUUAGAUAGUUGAACUCACUGGUUAGAUAGGACUCCCUGUUUAGAUAGUUGAACUCACUGGUUAGAUAGGACUCCCUGUUUAGAUAGUUGAACUCACUGGUUAGAUAGGACUCCCUGUUUAGAU